rnacentral:tRNA from 2 species
UGCCCCAUAGCUCAAUGGCAGAGCAAGCGGCUGUUAACCGCUUUUGUUGUAAGUUCGACUCUUACUGGGGCAGCCA